rnacentral:antisense_RNA from 1 species
CGGUGGGUGUACUCCCAGCUGCACUCGCCGUCGAGCAGGGCGCCGUCGCCGAAGUACGCGCCGUCGGCCAGGACGUCGACGACGGCCUCGUCGCCGUAGGGACCGGUGCCGAUCUUCUCUACCUUGCCGUGGGCGAGGAGGAAGACCCGGUCCGCGGCCGAGCCGGCCUCGACGAUGACGUCGCCGGGGGCGACGUCGCGCUGCGAGCAGCGCGUGGCGAGCUCCCGCAGGGCCGCCUGGUCGUCGUACCCGCGCAGGGGUGGCAGCUCGCACAGCUCGGCCGGGAUCACCUCGACGCGCUCGCCGGUCUGCACGAAGGUGACGCGCCCGUCGCCCACGGCGUAGGUGAGCCUCCGGUUCACCCGGUACGCGCCGCCCUGGACCUGCACCCACGGGAGCAUCUUCAGGACCCACCGGGAGGUGAUCUCCUGCAUCUGGGGCGCUGACUUGGUGGUGGUGGCCAGGUUCCGCGCCGCCGCGGUGCCGAGGCUCUGCUGCGGAGGCACCUG